CCUACGGGAGGCAGCAGUGGGGAAUAUUGCACAAUGGGGGAAACCCUGAUGCAGCGACGCCGCGUGAGUGAAGAAGUAUUUCGGUAUGUAAAGCUCUAUCAGCAGGGAAGAAGAAAGACGGUACCUGACUACGAAGCCCCGGCUAACUACGUGCCAGCAGCCGCGGUCAUACGUAGGGGGCAAGCGUUAUCCGGAUUUACUGGGUGGAAAGGGAGCGUAGACGGCUGUGCAAGUCUGAAGGGAAAGCGCAGGGGUCAACCCUGUGACUGCUUUGGAAACUGGGGAGCUAGAGUGCUGGAGAGGUAAGUGGAAUUCCUAGUGUAGCGGUGAAAUGCGUAGAUAUAAGGAGGAACACCAGUGGCGAAGGCGGCUUACUGGACAGUAACUGACGUUGAGGCUCGAAAGCGUGGGGAGCAAACAGGAUUAGAUACCCCUGUAGUC
rnacentral:rRNA from 1 species